rfam:Ornithorhynchus anatinus chromosome 4, whole genome shotgun sequence.
CCCCUCUCAGGGUCGCAGCUGGAGAGUUUCCAGUAUUCUACCAGUCUCGGCUAAGGGAGGGAGAGUUAAGCAGAGACAUACCCAUUCCAUUCCUACCUUGGCCAGUGGUUAGCUAGUGGCAGGCAAUCUGCUACAAGU